rnacentral:lncRNA from 1 species
CUCCUCGCCACUUUAUUGCUGCUCAGAAAUUUAGCCGUUUCAAGACGUAAACUAUGGUCAUUUCUGGGUUGUAAGAUUAUUGGGGAAUUGUUUUCUCUUCUUUAUUAUUUUUCUGUAUUUUAUAGAUUCACCGCAAUGAAAAAAUACUAUUAUUAUAGCAAGGAAAAAAACAGUCACGAAAGCUUGCAUUGUUUAAGUUUAGAAGUUCCAAAUCAAUUAACACUCCAUUUGAAGUUAGCCCACAGAUGAAAGGCCCAACAGAGGGAAAAGGAACCAUUGUCUGGAGCAGAAGUCAGACUAGAAGCAAAAUGCACUGGCUUGUAAACUGCCUACUCUUACCUCAGGUACUAGGCACCUUUGGACGGAAAAGAAAAAGAGAUGCAAUGACAGAAGCAGAGAUCAGAAAGAGACUGAGAGUUGAAGACACUCCACUGCUGGCUUGAAGAUGGAGGAAGGGCCCACGAGCUAAGGAAUGCAGGCAGCCUCUAGAAGUGGGGAAAGGCAAGGAAAUGGAUUCUGUCCGAGUCUCAAGAAGGAACACAGUCCUGCCAACCCAUUUUGGACUUCUGACUUCUAGAACGGGAUAAGAAGGCCACCAGGAAGAAGGAACACCUGUAGGAUAUUUAUCAUCACUGACAGAAGAAAAGAACAAUGAGGGACCCCUGGAGUCUGUCGUGCCUGAAGGCCGACAUUUCUAAACCCCUACCUUACUGCCCGUUUCCCCUAUAUAACUACCUCAGAUCCUGUAAUUCUUCAAGAUGGGUUUUUUGAGACAUUAGUCACCCAUCUUCCGAUUAUGCCAG